rnacentral:tRNA from 1 species
GCGGGUAUAGCUUAGUGGUAGAGUCAUAGCCUUCCAAGCUAAAGGUGUGGGUUCGAUUCCCACUAUCCGCU